CUGACGACUCCGCUUUGCUCCUUCUCGACCAGUGCUCGCUGAGUGCUCUGAAAUCAAAGGACUUUGUCAUGUCUUACAGUAUCUAAAUGUUAAAUGCCCAUACAGAGCGGAAGUGGCAGUCCAAAUAUUAAAUUACUUGUUUCCUUCUUCCUCCUCCUCCUCCUCCUCCUCCUCUCCUUCAUCUUCUUGGUUUGGUCAGUUGUAAGUUGGAGAGACAGAUAUGUUUGCAUCUGUAUAUCAUCUAGGCUUCUAAGUCCUCAAGUGGUCUGACUUGUCUAUUUUAAAUGUGUCAUUUUUAUGUGUAUAUCCAGAUACUAUUUUGAUGAGCCAUGAUACAGCAAAUGAAAGUAUAAAUGGAGUUAAAGUUUA